AAAAGAAAGGAAAAAGAAAAAAGGAGAGGGAGAAAGAAGGAAAGAAAAGGAAAGAAGGAAAGAAAGAAAAAAGAGAAGGAAAGGAGAGAGGGAGUAAAGAAAGAAAAAGAAAAAGAAAAAGGAAGGACAGGAGGAAAAACACUUCAAUAUCUUCCCAAGGUAUAAGCAGGAACCAGCCUUCUCAGAAGGCAACCAGGCAUUCACAAAGUGGUGUGUGGAUUGUGACUCAAUCAGUCAGCUAGGCAAUAAGCAUUUAAGCUUCUAUUGAGUAUAAGCUGUCUUAGGCCUAAUGGGAUAAGGGAGAUGCAAAGAGGAUAUGAUCCCUGCCUUCAAGUAGUUUACUACCUAAUUGGGAGGAAAAAAUGACAAUAGCCAGACUCCAUGCUCUGACUUAGGCUUGUUACUAUUAGAGGGAUGUGGCCUGCCCUAUGGCAAGGAGCCCACUCAGUGGUGGAGCAUGGAUUAGUGGGAAGCCUUGAACUUGAGAAGGAUCUGAGGAGAACCUUUGUACUUUUGAGAAAUCCAAGUUAGGAACCAGCUGUUUUUCCUACAUGAUGGGAAUGUCGGAGGACAGUGGCUAAUGGAGAAACGUCACCCAAAGUUAAACUGUAAGGGGAAUAAUGUCACUCUAGUGAGAGCAGCUGAGGCCUACCAAAAGGAGAGAGAAGACCCCUGGCCUGGAGGAGACUAACCUAUGACCGUGUGACUCAGCAUCACUCUGACUGUGAAAGCGUGGGGAAGGGACCCUUCUAGCAAAGUCUUAAGAGGUCUUCACUUAUCCUCUCUUUCUCUGUCUCUCCUUUCCUACUCCCUGUUUUUUUCUCUCUCUCUUCCCUCUCUCUGUUUCUUUUCUUUCUGUGUCUAUCUUUCUGCUUCUGCAUUUGUCUCUCUUUCUCUGUCUCUCCCUCCUCUCCAAUUUCUAGCCUCCUGCAUUGCAGAGACAGGAACCAGUUGGAGCUAGCUGAGCUAGUCUGGGACUUGCUGUGUCAUUCCUGCAGGUCUCUGGGCUCCUGGUGAAGCCUGGUGUUUCCUCUUUUGCCAGGUAAGAGAGAGUUUGUGCCCUGUCUGAGCUUUUGGGGCACUUCUGUCACCCUGUUCUUGUUGCAGGCAAUACAUGUGCUAAGACAUGAGAGACAACCUCUCUCCUAGGGAUGAAUCCCAACUCUUCUUCCAUUCUCACUCUGAGAUGUCACUUUCUCAUUCUCUCUGGAUGUGGAACCUCCUUA
rnacentral:lncRNA from 1 species